rnacentral:rRNA from 1 species
UACGGAGGAUCCAAGCGUUAUCCGGAUUUAUUGGGUUUAAAGGGUGCGUAGGCGGAUUGAUAAGUUAGAGGUGAAAUGUCCGAGCUCAACUCGGGAACUGCCUCUAAUACUGUUGAUCUAGAGAGUAGAUGCGGUAGGCGGAAUGUAUGGUGUAGCGGUGAAAUGCUUAGAGAUCAUACAGAACACCGAUUGCGAAGGCAGCUUACCAAUCUAUAUCUGACGUUGAGGCACGAAAGCGUGGGAAGCAAACAGG